rnacentral:rRNA from 1 species
AACGAACGCUGGCGGCAUGCCUAACACAUGCAAGUCGAACGAGACCUUCGGGUCUAGUGGCGCACGGGUGCGUAACGCGUGGGAACCUGCCUUUAGGUUCGGAAUAACUCAGAGAAAUUUGAGCUAAUACCGGAUAAUGUCUUCGGACCAAAGAUUUAUCGCCUUUAGAUGGGCCCGCGUUGGAUUAGCUAGUUGGUGGGUAAAGGCCUACCAAGGCGACGAUCCAUAGCUGGUCUGAGAGGAUGAUCAGCCACACUGGGACUGAGACACGGCCCAGACUCCUACGGAGGCAGCAGUGGGGAAUAUUGGACAAUGGGCGAAAGCCUGA